GAUGAACGCUGGCGGCGUGCUUAACACAUGCAAGUCGAACGAAGAAGGUUAGAAUGAGAGCUUCGGCAGGAUUUCUUUCCAUCUUAGUGGCGGACGGGUGAGUAACGUGUGGGCAACCUGCCCUGUACUGGGGAAUAAUCAUUGGAAACAAUGACUAAUACCGCAUGAGAUCUACGGAUGAAAGCAGGGGAUCGCAAGACCUUGUGCUACUAGAGCGGCCGAUGGCAAAUUAGGUAGUUGGUGGGAUAAAAGCUUACCAAGCCAACGAUCUGUAGCUGGUCUGAGAGGACGAUCAGCCACACUGGGACUGAGACACGGCCCAG
rnacentral:rRNA from 1 species